AUGACUUUGGACUUACUAAACUCAUUUGCCAGUCAAAGAAAAUCUUUUUUGCAACAGUCCUCUCACUCGCUGCUGGCUGUGCUUUGUAACAGAGCCAGACUGGUUUCCUGUCUCCCAGGGUUUUGCUCUUUAGUUAAAAGGGUUGUCAAUCCCAAAGCCUUUUCAACUGCAGGAUCAUCAGGUUCUGAUGAGUCUCAUGUGGCCACUGCACCUCCAGAUAAAUGCUCUCGAACAAAUUGGCCUGAUGCAACUAUGGGACCAUUUGGACCUCAAAAGCAGAGAUUCCAGUUUCCUGGGAAUUUAGGUUUUGAUUGUCAUCUCAAUGGGAUUGCUUCACAGAAGAAAAGCCUGGUUCAUAAAACUUUGCCUAAUGUUCUAGGAGAACCUUUUAUCAAGUGAAAGAUAUACAUUGUGAUGGCGCACAAUGUAAAUGAGCUUCAGGGUAGUGAUACAUCUGUGGAACAAGAAAGUAACACCGCAAUCCAAACAGGUCCAGAAUUGCUGCGAAGAUAACUUUGAAUCACUAUUUCCAGAAGUAGUUAAUAGCAAACUAAUGAUUCUGACUGUAACACAGAAGACUGAGUCUUCUGAGUGAAUGGAGUGAUUAGGUAGAAACUGAAAGAGAAAUAAAUGCUCUUAGAAAAGUUCAUCAUUGGUGCUAAGGAAAUGUGCGGUACUCUUUGAACUGAAGGAUACUGGUCUGACUUUAUUGACCCAUCAUCAGAUUUGGCAUUUUUUUGGACCAUGUACAAACAACACUCUUUUUGAAACAGAUGAACGCUCCCAACAUCCAGGAUUCUCUGUUGAUGAUCUUGGAUGCUGUAAAGUGAUUUGUCAUAGUCUCUGGGGUACCCAUGUAUUUGUAGGAAGUAUCUUCACUAAUGCAACACCAGACAGUCAUAUUACAAAGAAAUUAAGUGGAGACUAGCAGUAAUGUCAGUUUAUUUGCUGAACUGUUUGUAUGUAACAUUGGGGUUGAUCUGUAAACACUGUCAAAGACUUCAAUUUUUAAAAGAUACUUAUUUCUGUGGUAAUUAACAUGUAACCAGGGUAUAACCUCUCAUUGUUAUUUCUCCCCUUUAUUGGGAAAAAAAACUCAGUUUUAAUAUUUUUGCUCUAAAGUAAAUCACACAUUUGGUUA